UGAGGAAUAUUGGUCAAUGGGCGCGAGCCUGAACCAGCCAAGUAGCGUGAAGGAUGAAGGUCCUACGGAUUGUAAACUUCUUUUAUGAGGGAAUAAAGUCACCCACGUGUGGGUGUUUGUAUGUACCUUAUGAAUAAGCAUCGGCUAACUCCGUGCCAGCAGCCGCGGUAAUACGGAGGAUGCGAGCGUUAUCCGGAUUUAUUGGGUUUAAAGGGAGCGUAGACGGGUCGUUAAGUCAGCUGUGAAAGUUUGAGGCUCAACCGUAAAAUUGCAGUUGAUACUGGAUAUCUUGAGUGCAGUUGAGGCAGGCGGAAUUCGUGGUGUAGCGGUGAAAUGCUUAGAUAUCACGAAGAACUCCGAUUGCGAAGGCAGCCUGCUAAGCUGCAACUGACAUUGAGGCUCGAAAGUGUGGGUAUCAAACAGGAUUAGAUACCCUGGUAGUCCACACGGUAAACGAUGAAUACUCGCUGUUUGCGAUAUACUGCAAGCGGCCAAGCGAAAGCGUUAAGUAUUCCACCUGGGGAGUACGCCGGCAACGGUGAAACUCAAAGGAAUUGACGGGGGCCCGCACAAGCGGAGGAACAUGUGGUUUAAUUCGAUGAUACGCGAGGAACCUUACCCGGGCUUAAAUUGCAGAUGAAUUACGGUGAAAGCCGUAAGCCGCAAGGCAUCUGUGAAGGUGCUGCAUGGUUGUCGUCAGCUCGUGCCGUGAGGUGUCGGCUUAAGUGCCAUAACGAGCGCAACCCUUGUUGUCAGUUACUAACAGGUUUUGCUGAGGACUCUGACAAGACUGCCAUCGUAAGAUGUGAGGAAGGUGGGGAUGACGUCAAAUCAGCACGGCCCUUACGUCCGGGGCUACACACGUGUUACAAUGGGGGGUACAGAGGGCCGCUACCACGCGAGUGGAUGCCAAUCCCCAAAACCUCUCUCAGUUCGGACUGGAGUCUGCAACCCGACUCCACGAAGCUGGAUUCGCUAGUAAUCGCGCAUCAGCCACGGCGCGGUGAAUACGUUCCC
rnacentral:rRNA from 1 species